rnacentral:rRNA from 1 species
GUCUAUGGCCAUGCCACCCUGAAUACGCCCGAUCUUGUCUGAUCUCGGAAGCUAAGGGUCUGGCCUGGCUAGUACUUGGAUGGGAGACCACCUAGGAAGACCAGGAGCUGUAGGCG